UAUAAAUGCCCGUUAAAGCAAGAGCUCUUGUGUUUCUGUUCCUGUGGAGUGCAGCUGAAAUGACCGCUACUGCUCCUUCACAGUAUAUUUACAUGAGCUUCCUGUGGACAUCAGCACCAUUUAAAAUUAAGGCUGGAACACAGAUGUGGGGCUGGAAGUGGAGCAGCCCCUUUUAGCCAUGAGGCCCAAAGCCACAUGCUAAGGAUGGUGAAGCAGGGGAUAGAAAGAGCCUGUGUCUUUGCUGACUUCCUUAAGCCACGGCACCAGCCUGGGCCUGCCCUACUCUGGACAUCUAAAUGUCAGGAGCUAAGAAUCAAGUCAGUCUAGAGGUGUUCGUUGCCAUGUGGAGAGAUCCUUCCCAAGAAGAAAGAUGCUACAAAGUGUCCUGGAAAUCCUCUUUGCCCAUCCAGAUCCACCCUCCCUAGCCUGCUCUGUACCUCAGGAAGCUGCUUUUCAUGGUUCACAUAAACCAGGCUCCUGUACCCUCCAGAUAGGUCCAUCCUAUGGGUGGUACCAGCAGGAGACCAGAGAGAUGAAGGAGGGAAAAAAAGAACAUUAGGGGUUGAAUUGUAUCACCCCAAAAUUCAUAUGGUGAAGUAUAACCCCUUCGGAAUGUAACCUUAUUGGAAAUGUCAGAGGCACGUGAACCAGAGCAACUCCAUCUUGAAUAGGGGCUGGGUAAAAUG
rnacentral:lncRNA from 10 species